rnacentral:rRNA from 1 species
AUUGAACGCUGGCGGCAUGCCUUACACAUGCAAGUCGAACGACAGCACGGGUGCUUGCCCCUGGUGGCGAGUGGCGAACGGGUGAGUAAUACAUCGGAACAUGUCCUGUAGUGGGGGAUAGCCCGGCGAAAGCCGGAUUAAUACCGCAUACGAUCUACGGAUGAAAGCGGGGGACCUUCGGGCCUCGCGCUUUGGGGUUGGUCGUUGGCUGAUUAGCUAGUUGGUGGGGUAAAGGCCUACCAAGGCGACGAUCAGUAGCUGGUCUGAGAGGACGACCAGCCACACUGGGACUGAGACACGGCCCAGACUCCUACGGGAGGCAGCAGUGGGGAAUUUUGGACAAUGGGCGAAAGCCUGAUCCAGCAAUGCCGCGUGUGUGAAGAAGGCCUUCGGGUUGUAAAGCACUUUUGUCCGGAAAGAAAUACUUGGCCCUAAUACGGUCGGGGGAUGACGGUACCGGAAGAAUAAGCACCGGCUAACUACGUG